rnacentral:rRNA from 1 species
GACGAACGCUGGCGGCGUGCUUAACACAUGCAAGUCGAACGGUAAGGCCUUUCGGGGUCCUCCGAGUGGCGAACGGGUGAGUAACACGUGAGCAACCUGCCCUUGACUUCGGAAUACCAGCUGGAAACAGCUGCUAAUACCGGAUAUGACCCUGGUCCUCCUGGACUGGGGUGGAAAGCUCCGGCGGUCAGGGAUGGGCUCGCGGCCUAUCAGCUUGUUGGUGAGGUAAUGGCUCACCAAGGCUUCGACGGGUAGCCGGCCUGAGAGGGCGACCGGCCACACUGGGACUGAGAUACGGCCCAGACUCCUACGGGAGGCAGCAGUGGGGAAUAUUGCACAAGGGGCGCAAGCCUGAUGCAGCAACGCCGCGUGCGGGAUGACGGCCUUCGGGUUGUAAACCGCUUUCAGUAGGGACGAAGCCACAAGUGACGGUACCUACAGAAGAAGGACCGGCUAACUACGUG